UCCCUGGUGGCUGAGUUGGUAAAGAAUCUGCCUGCAACGCAGGAGACCCAGAAUUGAUCCCUGGGUUGGGAA
rnacentral:tRNA from 1 species